UCGAUGAGGGCGCUGUCUUCGUUCAUCAGCAGACAGCUGUUCCGAAAGCUGUAGCUGUUUUUAACACAAGACAUGAUCAUCUGGGACUUACUGUCCAGAUGGUCCAUGACGAUCUUGUCCACCUGCGCCCCAGCCUCCUGCAAGACUCUGACUGCUUCCUCGGGGGACCUGGCAUGCAGGCCUGGGUGGAUGGAGACCGGGCAGCCCAGCUGCGACUGCACGCUGGCCGUGGCGCGAAGAAUCUUCCUCUCGUUAUCUGAGGAGAAAUAAAAAGAAACCAUACGGGGCCAGGAGCAACCUAUCUCGCCAAUGACCCCACACCGACCCGUGCUACCGUCUGCCCCCUGCAUCAGGUCAGAGGUCAUGACCUUUUCAACAUCUUCCUGUGACAUUCUGUCCAUUUCCGGCGGGUGCGUUUUUGAUGUGUAGUAACCUGUUAAGAAUCAACAUAACACUCUUUCAAUCAAAACAAUCAUGGAGGAUCUUAAAACUAGGAUUGCUAUAGAUAAUCCGUACCUGUUCCCGCGACGAUAUUGACUCCGGUUGCUGUCGAUAACUCGACCAGUUUGCCGACGUUCCGGUCCA